UACGGAGGGUGCAAGCGUUAUCCGGAUUUAUUGGGUUUAAAGGGUGCGCAGGCGGGGCUUUAAGUCAGUGGUGAAAUCUCUUCGCUUAACGAAGAAACUGCCAUUGAUACUGAAGUUCUUGAAUCUAGUUGACGUUAGUGGAAUGUGUCAUGUAGCGGUGAAAUGCUUAGAUAUGACACAGAACACCGAUCGCGAAGGCAGCUAACGAAGCUAGUAUUGACGCUCAGGUGCGAAAGCGUGGGGAGCAAACAGG
rnacentral:rRNA from 1 species